CUUGUGAAAUGGUAGUCACUCUCAGUAAGUAUGAACUAUGAUGCCUAUUAAUGGCAGAAAAUAGAUGGAAACACUAGUCUUAGCAUUGGUGCUCUAGCUCCCUGCUUGGUUGUAACAGCUCUGACUUUAUGACUUCAAGGAGGAAUUGCAGACCCAUCACUGGCUGGGGAGUCAGGGCUCAGGGAUUCUGUCCCAAGUUCACUAGCUUAUAGGUGGGACCCCAGGCCCACUGUUUAUCUUCCUGAUCUCUGGGGGGCCCAUAAAAGACAAAGGAUGAGUCAGGUAUUCAGCUCCAAAAAAUUAGACUCUCGCUGUAGACGAACUGUAGUUCAGAGUCUGUAAUCUGGAGGACAAUGGAGAGAACAGGGUUGGACCCUGGUGAUAGGGUGUUGACUCGUGAGAUUAUUAGUUUACACUUAACGUUUCUAUAAAAAAACAAAAGGAUGGAAAAUAAAGUCUCAUUGCUAAAAUGGUGACUACCUGAGUGAU
rnacentral:lncRNA from 1 species